rnacentral:rRNA from 1 species
AUUGAACGCUGGCGGCAGGCCUAACACACGCAAGUCGAACGGUAGCACAGAGAGCUUGCUCUCGGGUGACGAGUGGCGGACGGGUGAGUAAUGUCUGGGAAACCGCCCGAUAGAGGGGGAUAACCACUGGAAACGGUGGCUAAUACCGCAUAACGUCGCAAGACCAAAGAGGGGGACCUUCGGGCCUCUCACUAUCGGAUGAACCCAGAUGGGAUUAGCUAGUAGGCGGGGUAAUGGCCCACCUAGGCGACGAUCCCUAGCUGGUCUGAGAGGAUGACCAGCCACACUGGAACUGAGAGACGGUCCAGAGUCCGACGGGAGGGAGGAGUGGGGAAUAUUGCACAAUGGGCGCAAGCCUGAUGCAGCCAUGCCGGGUGUAUGAAGAAGGCCUUCGGGUUGUAAAGUACUUUCAGCGGGGAGGAAGGCGGUGAGGUUAAUAACCUCGCCGAUUGACGUUACCCGCAGAAGAAGCACCGGCUAACUCCGUGCCAGCCGCCGCGGUAA